AGUGACCUGCUGAGAAAGCUGCUUUUGUAACCUGGUGGGGUGAAAUAAAAUUAUCAAAACAUUCCUAAUUAUGUUUCAGUUAAGAUUAAAUUCAACUUUAUUGUUAUUGCCUAAAAGUACAGUCAAAUGAAUAGGUUUUGUAUCUAUCUUCACUUCAAACAAGUCACGUGCUCAGAAAAUGCUUAGAAUGUGUCCAUUUUAAUAGGUUUUAAUGCAUAAGACAGUAGAUAGAAUAAAUAUUAGAUAAUAUAAAUAUGAGAGUUUUCUUACAGCCUUAAUCUGUCAUUGUUUCGUUUCAGACUGUCAGUCAAUUUUGGAAGCCUGAAGUGGGUUCAUUUUAAGUUUCCAUAUUCCAUAUGUUAAGAUAUGUUCAGUGUUGCUGCUGUGGAAGUGUUGUGGGUGACUUUUUAUUGAUGCAGGUCUAAUCAUACUUUAAGAGGUUCUCUAGACCAUGCAACUUUUUAAGUUCCUACGGUCCCAUCAUAAUUUCUUAAGAAGUACUGUAUAUGAUGUCAGUAUUUUCCAACAUUUUCUAAAUACUGUACCAGUACUGUGUAAAAUGCCAUCAAAAAGUCAAUUAAGUGUUAUUCUUUCUCA